CUGUGAGAAGCUGGAGCCCAUUGAUUACUGGAUGUUUCAAUCUGCUGAAAAGAAGGGGCUGUCCCUGAACCAAUGAAACAAUAAGAAGGAAGGGAGAGUGACAAGCUGUGGGGCAAUCUUUGCUCUCAGGGCCCGGGCACUUUCCUUUCACUGGUUCAGCAGAGAUCAACAAGAAGAGGCUGAGUCUGAGAAGUUAACCAUGCAUGGUUCAAGCCACCUGGCAAUGAGCUCUGCAGGCAUAGGAGGCAACCUUUCUGCCUUUAUCAUGAACCUGAGAGCAGUAUAACCAUCUGGCUGGUUAUAAUUUAACAGAAACCCCAUUUUUUAUCUUGCUAUGGUGGUGUGCUUUCUUUUAAAUGUCACCUGUAGAGUUUCCCAAUGAGUGGAGAAGUUUUGCUUUGUAUUUCUUACAGAUACUGACAAAAACUAGUCCACUGGAUUACCAUAAACCUAGCCAUAUUCUUUCUUAGAGGCAUGAGCAAGCUGAAAAGAGUUUGCAGUAACUUUUAUACUUUAAUCAAAAUAUUUUUCAGUAUAUAUUUGUCAUUUUUAACCAGUAGACUCAUUGACUGGUUAUUUUAUUAAUGUUGAAAUCUUACAAUUUUAGAGGAGUUAUUAAGCAAAUAAAUUAAUCUUCAGCUUUCCCAUGGCACUGAAGCUUGUUCGUCACUGUUGUGCUUUCCAUCAUUCUUUAAACCCUUGGUAAUCGAUAGUGGUAAUUUCAAAUAAGUUCAGAUCUUUUGUUCAAAGUAAACUGAGCAUGCAUGCAUCUUCUAAAUCAGCACCUUAACGUGACCUCUCCUUUCUGCUCAAAUUAUUAAAAUCAAAAUAAAGUUC